rnacentral:rRNA from 1 species
AUUGAACGCUGGCGGCAGGCCUAACACAUGCAAGUCGAACGAGCGGCGGACGGGUGAGUAAUGCCUGGGAAGUGCCCAGUCGGGGGGGAUAACAGUUGGACACGACCGCUAAUCCCGCAUCCGAUGGGAUUGCCCAGGUGGGAAUAGAUAGUUGGGGGGGUAAUGGCUCACCAAGGCGACGAUCCCUAGCUGGUCUGAGAGGAAGAUCAGCCACACGGGAACUGAGACACGGUCCAGACUCCUACGGGAGGCAGCAGUGGGGAAUAUUGCACAAUGGGGGAAACCCUGAUGCAGCCAUGCCGCGUGUGUGAAGAAGGCCUUCGGGUUGUAAAGCACUUUCAGCGAGGAGGCGUUACUCGCAGAAGAAGCACCGGCUAACUCCGUGCCAGCAGCCGCGGUAAUUC